rnacentral:rRNA from 1 species
AUACGGAGGGUGCAAGCGUUACUCGGAAUCACGGGGCGUAAAGGACGCGUAGGCGGGUUGGAAAGUCUGAUGUGAAAUCCUACAGCUUAACUGUAGAACUGCAUUGGAAGCUUCCAACCUAGAGUAUGGGAGGGGGAGAUGGAAUUAGUGGUGUAGGGGUAAAAUCCGUAGAUAUCACUAGGAAUACCCAAAGCGAAGGCGAUCUCCUGGAACAUUACUGACGCUAAGGCGCGAAAGCGUGGGGAGCAAACGGGAUUAGAUACCCUAGUAGUCC